AUUGAACGCUGGCGGCAGGCCUAACACAUGCAAGUCGAACGAGUGGCGGACGGGUGAGUAAUGUCUGGGAAACUGCCUGAUGGAGGGGGAUAACUACUGGAAACGGUAGCUAAUACCGCAUACCAUCGGAUGUGCCCAGAUGGGAUUAGCUAGUAGGUGGGGUAAAGGCUCACCUAGGCGACGAUCCCUAGCUGGUCUGAGAGGAUGACCAGACACAAGGGAACAGAGACACGGGCCAGACUCCUACGGGAGGAAGCAGUGGGGAAUAGUGCACAAUGGGUGGAAGCUUGAGGCAGCCAUGCCGCGUGUAGGAAGAAGGCCUUCGGGUUGUAAAGUACUUUCAGCGGGGAGGCGGUACCCGCAGAAGAAGCACCGGCUAACUCCGUGCCAGCAGCCGCGGUAAUAC
rnacentral:rRNA from 1 species